GUGAGAACCAGCCAGCUGUGUCGAACCCUCACAGCUCUCCAGACUCACAAACAGUAAACCCUUAAUAACGAAUGCUAAGUAGUAGUAGCUUCACCUGAGCCGAGAAAAUCCGGGAAUUUCUCAUCCAUGGCAGACCAGGUGUUACUCCUGGCUGUUGGUGUCUCUGUGAGCCUCCUGUUGCUGCUGCUGCUGAGUCUGACGCUGUGUUGUCUGCGGAGGAGGAAGAAGAAACGUCAGAGUCAGUACCAGGAGCUGCUCCCCGCUGUGCCGUCAGUACCAGCCUGCUCCGCUCCGGUGAUCCCGGUGUCUCAGGGCUCCUGGACCACUCCCAAUGACAUCCCUUUCGCCCUUCCUCCUCGUUUCAUCGCCCAAAACCCUCUGAAAAACGAUGAGAGACAGGACAAAGAGGAGGAGAUGAAGAUGGAGGAGGCCCGUCGGGACAUACUGGCUCAUCGCGGCUCACUGUCAGUGACGAGUUGGUACCCGGUGGGGACGGUGAUGACCGGCCUCUACUCUGCGCCCCCCCUAAACGAGGUGGUGGCCCCUCCCCCCGGCAUGGCCACCCGCCUCUGCUUCUCCGUGGAGUAUCGACACAGCAGCGAGCAGCUCAUGGUCUCCCUGCUUCGCCUCGGCAACCUCCCCCCUCGUUUCCACGGCAACGUCACGCUGGUGGAGCUCCGGCUUCUCCCCGACGACAGGCGGCCCCGCCAGGCCAAGGCCCGGGGCACGGGGCCCGACCCGGAGUUCAACGACUGCCUCAUUUUCCAGGUGUCGGGUGUGUGCGUGUCUCAGAGCACGCUCAGUGUGUGCGUGCUGAGCGUGGAGCAGGAUGCUAAACGCCACGCGGUGGGCAGGGUGCUGUUCCCUCUGGAGGGGGAGCUCGGUCAGGCCGGCAGGGUUCUGUGGCGAGACCUGGAGACGGAGGACGACACUCAGUGCUCAGAGCUGGGCGACGUGCAGGUAUCUCUCAGCUACAGUUCGUCUCUGCAGCGCCUCUCGGUGGUGGUUUUGAGGGCGCGAGGCCUCCAGCUGCUCACGGACGCAGCGUCCGUCCGCAGGUGUGUGCGCCCAGGUGAGCUUACAGAUCCACACUCAGGCGGUGAAGAUCAAGCGCAGCUGCGUGGUGAAAGGUGAGAGCGACCCGUACUUCAACUACAGGAUGACCUUUAAACUGCGACCUCAGCACCUGGACGAGGCCUGUCUGAGGUUUGAGCUGCAGCAGCCGAACAGCGUCCGCUCAGAGCCUCCGGUCCAGCUGGGAGUGCUGGUUUUGGGUCCUUUCAUGUACGCCAGGGGCCCACAGCUGCAGCACUGGAUGGACAUGGUCAACAAAGCACAGGAGCCGGUCAAACUGUGGCACAGACUGAACAGGGCCACUUAACACCCAAAUCAAGCUCAAGAUAUAAAUAAAGUUUGAAAUAAAAAAAAAAUAACCAAA